AUUAUUUUAUUCAUAAUUGUAUAAAUUAUGGCAGGUGUAGUUUAUUGAUAAAAUAUUAGUUUUGUAAACUAAUGAUAGCGCGUAUCAUAGUGCUUAUCUGUU
rnacentral:tRNA from 1 species